CUACGUAGGGGGCGAGCGUUGUCCGGAAUGAUUGGGCGUAAAGGGCGCGUAGGCGGCCCGGUAAGUCUGGAGUGAAAGUCCUGUUUUUAAGAUGGGAAUUGCUUUGGAUACUGUCGGGCUUGCGUGCAGGAGAGGUAAGUGGAAUUCCCAGUGUAGCGGUGAAAUGCGUAGAGAUUGGGAGGAACACCAGUGGCGAAGGCGACUUACUGGACUGUAACUGACGCUGAGGCGCGAAAGUGUGGGGAGCAAACAGGAUUAGAUACCCUGGUAGUCCACACUGUAAACGAUGAAUGCUAGGUGUAGGGGGUAUCGACCCCUUCUGUGCCGCAGUCAACACAAUAAGCAUUCCGCCUGGGGAGUACGGCCGCAAGGUUGAAACUCAAAGGAAUUGACGGGG
rnacentral:rRNA from 1 species